rnacentral:rRNA from 1 species
GAAACGUAGGGGGUGCUUCCAUCUGGAAGAAUCUGGAGACAGGUGCUGCAUGGCUGUCGUCAGCUCGUGUCGUGAGAUGGUUGGGUUAACGUCCCGCAACGAGCGCCAACCCUUGCCUUUAGUUGCCAGCAGUUCGGCGUGGGCACUCGUAAAGGGACUGCCGGUGUUAAACCGGAGGAAGGUGGGGAUGACGUCAAGUCCUCAUGGCCUUUAUGACCAGGGCUACACACGUGCUACAAUGGUCGGUACAAAGGGUUGCCAAGCCGCGAGGUGGAGCUAAUCCCAUAAAACCGAUCGUAGUCCGGAUCGCAGUCUGCAACUCGACUGCGUGAAGUCGGAAUCGCUAGUAAUCGUGAAUCAGAAUGUCACGGUGAAUACGUUCCCGGGCCUU